rnacentral:rRNA from 1 species
AGCGUUAUCCGGAAUUAUUGGGCGUAAAGCGUCCGUAGAUGGUCGGUUCAAGUCUGCUGUCAAAGACCGGGGCUUAACCCCAGAAAGGCGGUGGAAACUGAACAGCUAGAGAGAGGUAGGGGUAGAGGGAAUUCCCAGUGUAGCGGUGAAAUGCGUAGAUAUUGGGAAGAACAUCAGUGGCGAAAGCGCUCUACUGGACCUUAUCUGACAUUGAGGGACGAAAGCUAGGGGAGCGAAUGGG